rnacentral:rRNA from 1 species
AGCAGCCGCGGUAAUUCCAGCUCCAAUAGCGUAUAUUAAAGUUGUUGCAGUUAAAAAGCUCGUAGUUGAAUUUCGGGGUUCUUCCGUUGGUCGGGCUAUCCAGUCUGUACUAGCGUGUAGAACUUCUACCUUCUGGGGAACCAUCAUGUUAUUAAUUUAGCGUGGUGGGAAACCAGGACCUUUACCUUGAAAAAAUUAGAGUGUUCAAAGCAGGCUUACGUCUGAAUACAUUAGCAUGGAAUAAUAGAAUAGGACGGUGGUCCUGUUUUGUUGGUUUCUGAAUCACCGUAAUGAUUAAUAGGGAUAGUUGGGGGCAUUAGUAUUCAAUUGUCAGAGGUGAAAUUCUUGGAUUUAUUGAAGACUAACUUCUGCGAAAGCAUUUGCCAAGGAUGUUUUCAUUAAUCAAGAACGAAAGUUAGGGGAUCGAAGACGAUCAGAUACCGUCGUAGUCUUAACCAUAAACUAUGCCGACUAGGGAUCGGACGAUGUUAAAUUUUAUUGACUCGUUCGGCGUCCUUAC